rnacentral:rRNA from 1 species
AACGCUAGCUACAGGCUUAACACAUGCAAGUCGAGGGGCAGCACAGUGUAGCAAUACGCGGGUGGCGACCGGCGCACGGGUGCGUAACGCGUAUCCAACCUUCCCGUUACUCUUGGAUAGCCUUCCGAAAGGGAGAUUAAUACAAGAUGGUAUUCAAAUUCCGCAUGUUAUUUGAAUUAAAGAUUUAUCGGUAACGGAUGGGGAUGCGUGACAUUAGAUAGUAGGCGGGGUAACGGCCCACCUAGUCUACGAUGUCUAGGGGUUCUGAGAGGAAGGUCCCCCACACUGGAACUGAGACACGGUCCAGACUCCUACGGGAGGCAGCAGUGAGGAAUAUUGGUCAAUGGUCGGAAGACUGAACCAGCCAAGUAGCGUGAAGGAUGAAGGUUCUAUGGAUUGUAAACUUCUUUUAUACGGGAAUAAAACACCUUACGUGUAGGGUCUUGUAUGUACCGUAUGAAUAAGCAUCGGCUAACUCCGUGCCAGCAGCCGCGGUAAUACGGAGGAUGCGAGCGUUAUCCGGAUUUAUUGGGUUUAAAGGGAGCGUAGACGGGAUGUUAAGUCAGUUGUGAAGGGCUGCGGCUCAACCGCAGCACUGCAGUUGAUACUGGCGUCCUUGAGUGCGGUUGAGGUAUGUGGAAUUCGUGGUGUAGCGGUGAAAUGCUUAGAUAUCACGAAGAACUCCGAUUG